rnacentral:rRNA from 1 species
UGGGGAAUAUUGCGCAAUGGGCGAAAGCCUGACGCAGCGACGCCGCGUGUGGGAGGAAGCCUUUCGGGGUGUAAACCACUGUCAGAGGGGAAGAACGGCGACUAGUCGAACAGGCUAGUCGAUUGACGGUACCCUCACAGGAAGCGCCGGCUAACUCCGUGCCAGCAGCCGCGGUAAGACGGAGGGCGCAAGCGUUGUUCGGAAUUACUGGGCGUAAAGCGCGGGCAGGCGGUCUGUUAAGUCGUUUGUGAAAACCCGGGGCUCAACCCCGCGGAAUGCAUACGAUACUGGCGGACUGGAGACCGGUAGAGGCUAGCGGAAUUCCAGGUGUAGCGGUGGAAUGCGUAGAUAUCUGGAAGAACACCUGUGGCGAAGGCGGCUAGCUGGGCCGGGUCUGACGCUCAUCCGCGAAAGCGUGGGGAGCAAACAGGAUUAGAUACCCCCGUAGUCC